GCUGGGUGUCGUGGCGCACGCCUGUAAUCCCAGUGGCUUGGGAGGCUGAGGCAGGAGGAUCGCGAGUUCAAAGCCAGCCUCAGCAAAAGCGAGGUGCUAAGCAACUCAGUGAGACCCUGUCUCUA
rnacentral:sRNA from 1 species